GAUGAACGCUGGCGGCGUGCCUAAUACAUGCAAGUCGAGCGAACAGACGAGGAGCUUGCUCCUCUGACGUUAGCGGCGGACGGGUGAGUAACACGUGGAUAACCUACCUAUAAGACUGGGAUAACUUCGGGAAACCGGAGCUAAUACCGGAUAAUAUAUUGAACCGCAUGGUUCAAUAGUGAAAGACGGUUUUGCUGUCACUUAUAGAUGGAUCCGCGCCGCAUUAGCUAGUUGGUAAGGUAACAGCUUACCAAGGCAACGAUGCGUAGCCGACCUGAGAGGGUGAUCGGCCACACUGGAACUGAGACACGGUCCAGACUCCUACGGGAGGCAGCAGUAGGGAAUCUUCCGCAAUGGGCGAAAGCCUGACGGAGCAACGCCGCGUGAGUGAUGAAGGUCUUCGGAUCGUAAAACUCUGUUAUUAGGGAAGAACAAAUGUGUAAGUAACUAUGCACGUCUUGACGGUACCUAAUCAGAAAGCCACGGCUAACUACGU
rnacentral:rRNA from 1 species